rnacentral:rRNA from 1 species
UACGGGGGGGGCAAGCGUUGUUCGGAAUUACUGGGCGUAAAGGGCUCGUAGGUGGCCAACUAAGUCAGACGUGAAAUCCCUCAGCUUAACUGGGGAACUGCGUCUGAUACUGGAUGGCUUGAGUUUGGGAGAGGGAUGCGAAAUUCCAGGUGUAGCGGUGAAAUGCGUAGAUAUCUGGAGGAACACCGGUGGCGAAGGCGGCAUCCUGGACCAACACUGACACUGAUGAGCGAAAGCCAGGGGAGCAAACGGG